GGGGCUGUAGCUCAGUGGCAGAGCACUUGUCUAGCACACAUGAGGCCCUGGGUUCCAUCCUCAGCACUACA
rnacentral:tRNA from 1 species